rnacentral:tRNA from 1 species
GGCAGUGCAGCUCAGUGGCAGAGUACAUGCUCUGCAAGCAUGAGGCCCUGGGUUCAAUUCCCAGAACAGCAA